AGAGACAGCAGUCGCCACGGUAAUACGGAGGGUGCAAGCGUUAAUCGGAAUUACUGGGCGUAAAGCGCACGCAGGCGGUCUGACAAGUCAGAUGUGAAAUCCCCGGGCUUAACCUGGGAACUGCAUUUGAAACUGUCAGGCUGGAGUCUUGUAGAGGGGGGUGGAAUUCCAGGUGUAGCGGUGAAAUGCGUAGAGAUCUGGAGGAAUACCGGUGGCGAAGGCGGCCCCCUGGACAAAGACUGACGCUCAGGUGCGAAAGCGUGGGGAGCAAACAGGAUUAGAUACCCGUGUAGUCCCUGUCUCUUAUAA
rnacentral:rRNA from 1 species